rnacentral:rRNA from 1 species
GACGAACGCUGGCGGCGUGCUUAACACAUGCAAGUCGAACGAUGAAGCCCAGCUUGCUAGGUGGAUUAGUGGCGAACGGGUGAGUAAUACGUGAGUAACCUACCUUUAACUCUGGGAUAAGCCUGGGAAACUGGGUCUAAUACCGGAUACGACCAAUCUCCGCAUGGGGUGUUGGUGGAAAGCGUUAUGUAGUGGUUAUAGAUGGGCUCACGGCCUAUCAGCUUGUUGGUGAGGUAACGGCUCACCAAGGCGACGACGGGUAGCCGGCCUGAGAGGGUGACCGGCCACACUGGGACUGAGACACGGCCCAGACUCCUACGGGAGGCAGCAGUGGGGAAUAUUGCACAAUGGGCGCAAGCCUGAUGCAGCGACGCCGCGUGAGGGAUGACGGCCUUCGGGUUGUAAACCUCUGUUAGCAGGGAAGAAGAGAAAUUGACGGUACCUGCAGAGAAAGCGCCGGCUAACUACGUG